rnacentral:tRNA from 1 species
AACCGCGUAGCUCAUUUGGUAGAGCGACAGAUUUGUAAUCUGUAUGUAGUGGGUUCGAUUCCCAUCGCAACUG